UCAAGAAACUUCCACAAUGGGCGAAAGCCUGAUGGAGCGACGUCGCGUGAUGGACGAAGUGCUUCGGCACGUAAACAUCUUUUAUGUGGGAUGAAAUUAUUGACAGUACCACAUGAAUAAGGGGCUCCUAACUCUGUGCCAGCAGGAGCGGUAAUACAGAGGCCCCAAGCGUUAUCCGGAAUCACUGGGCGUAAAGGGUGUCGAGGCGGUUGUAUUAGUCGUGUGUCAAAACUCUGGGCUUAACCUAGAAUCUGCACGCGAAACGGUACAACUGGAGGACGCGAGAGAUGUGUAGAACUCAUAGUGUAGGGGUGAAAUCCGUUGAUAUUAUGGGGAAUACCAAAAGCGAAGGCAGCACAUUGGCGCGCUCCUGACUCUGAAACACGAAAGCGUGGGUAGCGAAUGAGAUUAGAUACCCUAGUAGUCCCUGAGCGGGCUGGCAAGGCGCAU
rnacentral:rRNA from 1 species